CGUUCCAUGGCCAAACUGGUCAAGGCAUCACCUUUUAGAAGCGAAGAUGCGGGUUCGAGUCCCGCUGGAAUGG
rnacentral:tRNA from 1 species